GAUGAACGCUAGCGGCAGGCCUAAUACAUGCAAGUCGGACGGGAUUUGGGAGCUUGCUCCCAAUGAGAGUGGCGCACGGGUGCGUAACACGUAUGUAACCUACCUUAAUCAGGGGGAUAGCCUCUCGAAAGAGAGAUUAACACCGCAUAAUAUAUUUUUAUGGCAUCGUAGAAAUAUCAAAUAUUUAUAGGAUUAAGAUGGGCAUGCGGAACAUUAGCUAGUUGGUAAGGUAACGGCUUACCAAGGCUACGAUGUUUAGGGGAUCUGAGAGGAUGACCCCCCACCCGGGUACUGAGACGCGGACCACACUCCUACGGGAGACAGCAGUAGGGAAUAUUGGGCAAUAGGCGCAAGCCUGAACCAGCAGUGCCGGGUGCAGGAAGGCGGCCCUAUGGCUUGUAAACUGCUUUUGUACCGGAAUAAACUCGUGGACGUGUAAAAAGCUGGAUGUACGGUAAGAAUAAGGAUCGACUAGCUCCGUGGCAGCAGCCGCGGUAA
rnacentral:rRNA from 1 species